AUUGAACGCUGGCGGCAUGCUUUUACACAUGCAAGUCGGCGGCAGCACAGAGAACUUGCUCUUGGUCGAUGGCGAACGGUUGAGUAAUAUAUCGGAACGUACCGAGUAAUGGGGGAUAACUAAUCGAAGAUUAGCUAAUACGCAUAUUCUCUGAGGAGGAAAGCAGGGGACCUUCGGGCCUUGCGUUAUUCGAGCGCCGAUAUCUGAUUAGCUAGUUGGUGGGGUAAAGGCCUACCAAGGCAACGAUCAGUAGCGGGUCUGAGAGGAUGAUCCGCCACACUGGGACUGAGACACGGCCCAGACUCCUACGGGAGGCAGCAGUGGGGAAUUUUGGACAAUGGGCGCAAGCCUGAUCCAGCCAUGCCGCGUGUCCGAAGAAGGCCUUCGGGUUGUAAAGGACUUUUGUCCAGGGAAGAAAAGGAUAGGGUUAAUACCCCUGUCUGAUGAACGGUAACCUGAAGAAUAAGCACCGGCUAAUACAC
rnacentral:rRNA from 1 species